UACGUAGGGACCGAGCGUUGUCCGAAAUCAUUGGGCGUAAAGAGCGUGUAGGCGGCCAUUUAAGUCCUGCGUGAAGUCCUGCGGCUCAACCGCAGGCGGUCGUGGGAAACUGGAUGGCUAGAGUGCGGGAGAGGAGAGUGGAAUUCCUGGUGUAGCGGUGGAAUGCGCAGAUAUCAGGAAGAACACCCGUGGCGAAGGCGGCUCUCUGGAACGCAACUGACGCUGAGACGCGAAAGCGUGGGGAGCAAACAGG
rnacentral:rRNA from 1 species